UUCAGUUUUCAGCAGACACAACAUCUUUGUUUGUAUGUGGUGCUGAGGAUCGAACCCGGGCCGCACGAAUGCCAGGCGAGCACGCUACAACUUGAGCCACAUCCCCAGCCCUAUAUGUUACAUUAUUAUUAACUGUAGUCAUUAUAUAGUGCAAUUGAUUUCAAAAACUUAUUCCUUCUGUCUAACUGAAACUUUAAACCUAUUAACUAAGCCUCAUGUAACCACCAUUCUAUUCUUCCCUAUUAUGAGUUUGACUUUUUUAGAUUCCACAUAUAGGUACCUGGUUUAUUUUAAUUACCAUAAUGACUGUCCUUCAGGUUCAUUCAUGUUGUUGCAAAAGGAAACUUCUUUUUUUAAGUAGUAUUCCAUUGUGUGUGUGUAUGUGUGUAUAUAUAUAAAUAGAUAAAGAAAACAUUAUAUAUAUAUAUAUAUAUAUAUAUAUAUAUAUAUAUAUAUAUAUAUAUAUCCAUUGCUAGAUACUUAGAUUGAUUCCCUGUCUUGGCUCUUAUGAAUAAUAUACUUCAAUGAAUAUGGGAAUACAGAUAUCUCUCUUUGACAUACUGAUUUCAAAUCCUUUAGCUGUGUUCCCAAAGUGGGAUUGCUGGAUCAUUUGGUAGUUUAUUUUUAGUUUUUUUGAGGAACCUCCAUACAAUUUUCUAUAGUGCCUGUCCCAAUUUAAAUUCCCACCAACUGUGUGCAAGUGUUCUCUCCAUAUCCUUAGCAACCCUUAUCUUUCAUCUUUUUGAUGACAGAUGCAAAGUGGUUUGUGGUUUUAAUUUGCAUUUCUCUGAUGAUAAGAGAUGUUGAACUUUUUUUUUUCAUAUACUUGGAAGCCAUUUGUGUGUCUUCUUUUGAGAAAAAUAUCUACUUAGGUCAUUUGCCCAUUUUUAAAUUGGGCUAUUUGUUUUCUUGUUACAGAGUUAUUAUGGUUUGGAUAUGAAAUCUCUCCCCAAUAUCUCAUGUGUUGAAAACAUGGUUUCCAGUGCAACAGGGUUCAGAGGUGGGGCAUUUAGGCAGUGACUGGAUCAUAACAGCUUGGACCUCAUCAUUGGACCUCCACCAUUUGCUGGAUUAAUCCACUGACAGCUGACUGGACUAUUGGGAGUGAGGACCUAGUUAGAAGAAGAAGAUCACUUGGGCCAUGUCCUGGAAGGGUUUAUCUUUUCCCAGUCACACACCUCUGUUUUCUAACUGCAAAGAGCCAAACAGCUUUCUCCUCUUAUGACCUUCUGCCAUGAAGCCUUGGAGCUGGCUGACCAUGCACUCAAUUCUUUGCAGCCAUAAGUCAAAAUAAUCUUUCCUCCUCUAAUUUGUUCUUGUCAGGUAAUUUGGUCACAGUGAUGAAAAGUUAACUAACCUAAGAGUUCUUUAAGUUCCUUAUAUUUCUCUCUCUCUCUCUCUCUUUCUCUCUCUCUCUCUCUCUCCCUCUCUCUCUUAUUGUGGUACUAGGGAUUGAACCCAGUGGUAUUUUACCACUGAGCUACAUUCCCAGCCCAGUUUACUUUUUGUUUUGAGACAAGGUCUCACUACGUUUCCCAGGCUGGCCUUGAACUUGCACUCCUCCUGCCACCGCCUCCCAAAUAGCUGGGAUUAUAGGCACGCAUCACCAUGCCUGGCAAUAGUUUUAUAUUAAGGUUAUAUUUAAACUUACUGUUCAAAUUACAAUGGCUUAACUCUCAUUGCUCAUAUCCUAGAAAUAGCAACCUCUUCCUCUCCCCACAUGUCUGAUAACAUCCCAGGAUAUAGCUCUCGUGUUUUCUGGAGCAGUCCCUCCUAUUCCGUCCCUAGCCUUAUAAAUCUGCUGCAGCUCUGCUAUCUUUAACCUUGUGAGUAUGCAAAUCCACUAGGCACCACUGUAUUGAUGAUUGUCCCAUUGCUCCCAUCACUGACUUUGAGAAGUGCUGAUGUUCCUGCAAGAAACUGAAACAAGACAAAUAGCACAACUGAAGCCAGGCUGUGACUUUUGACAAGUCUUUAGACUUGUUUAUAGGAAGUAGACAGGGCAAUUUAUACAGCCAUUAGCAGUGGCUUCUCUGAGAGGUUCAUAGUCUGGACUCACCCUCAGAAUGGCACAAACCUAGGUCCUCUAGAAGUUCUACAACCACCAGAUGGUGUCCUCUUGAUUUACCCUACAGAAGAAUAAGUACAGCACAGUCUGUCAUCACUCUAAUUCCCAAGGUCUGGGAUUUUCAGUCUUUAAUAUCACAGGUGGAACUCAAUAAUCCAUGCCACACAAUAUUGAGCUGAGCACCUUUCCUCCAGCAUUGGCUGAAAAAACAAGUCUUCACUGUCUGUUAACAUUCCUCCAUCCCACUUCCACAACUCUCAUAAAUAAUUGCCCAAAGAACGAACAGUCCUCUUAACUCUGCAAAGAUAUACAGUAAUGCACAAGCAUAGGUCAGUCUUAAUCCAACCUUAGAGAAAGACAUAGAGGAGGGAAACUACUAAGAAAUCCUCUAUGAGCCUGAAAUAUCUAACUUAAUUAAGCUUUACCUUAAUUUUUUCAGGCCUUCACCUUGAGCUAGACAUGGGUGAUUGCUUUGCAUUUACAUAACACUUGAGGUUAUUUCCCAGGACUAAGGAAGAAUCAGUACCAAAAAGAAAUUGAUCCUUUGGUUUUAGAAGUUAAUGUUUCUAGCUGCUUCACUCACCAAGGUUAAAAAACAAAAUCGUGAUUUGGCCCAACUCAGUUAUGAUAUCAACUGCUGUAAUUACUUGCUGGAAAGCAUGUCUCUUUUUCAUUAGAGCUUGGAGGUCAGAUAGCAAAAAUAGAAGCUGGAAGAGAUAUUAAAGAAAUAAGUGGUGCCUACUGAUAGAAAAUGAUGUCAAACAGGUUGUCACUUGAGAACAGUGGUCUGUGGUGAAAUUAUGAGAGAUUUUGGACUUGAACAGAUGUAAGUCUACAUUUUGGUGGGUCACUUCCUCCAAGGUAGGAUGACUUGUAUUUAACUUCUCCGAGCCUUAGUUUCUUUACAUGUAAAGUGAUGGUGAUAAUCUUACUUCAUAGGAUUGAAGACUAAAUGAGAAAACAUAAUCAAACUCUGGCAGACAGGCAGUCAGUCUAUGCUCAAGGUCCAGCACAGAUGCUGGGAAUAAAGUGGUGAACAGAUGAAAAUGAGCUACUAUCAACUGGGCAUUGUGGCAUAUACCUAUAGUCUCAGCUACUUGUGAGACUGAAAUGAGAAGAUCACUUGAACCCAGGAGUUCAAGACCAACCUGGACAACAUUUUGAGAUUCCAUCUAAAAUAUAUAUAUAUGAAAAAUAUAAAAAAAUAUAAGGAGCCACUAUCCUGUCCAGAAGAAAAGACAAGCAUUAAACAAAGAUCUAAUUACAAUUAUGAUGAAUACUAUAAUGAGGCCUAGAGUAUCAUAAGAAGAGGACUGACCUAAUUUAGGAUGGCAGGGAAUGUUGUCUUGAGGAAGUGAUACAAAAGCUGAGGAAUCUAGGUUACAUAUGUAAAAUUUCAGUUAAAGCAUUCUAGGUUCACCAAAGGUGCUCAAUAAAUGGGAGCUGCUAUUAUUAUAAUUUAUCCCAAUAAACAUUUAUUGUCUAUUAUGUAUACUCCACUACUAUGCAUACUGAGGUACAAUAAAAAUGUGAAUUUGAGCAAAUAGCUUAAAACUUAUGAGCCUCAGUUUGCCCAUCUAUAAAAUGAGAAUAUUAAUAGUAUAUAUGUGAGCCAGGCACAAUGAUAAUUAAGGAGGCUGAGAGGGGACAAUUACUUAAGCCCAGGGUUUUGAGGCCAGCCUGAACAACACAGUGAGAUCUAUCACAACACACAUUCACAAACAUACACACAUACACAAGUACAUAUUUAGUCUUUUUUUAAAGAAUCAAUGAGAUAAUGUAUGUGAAAUAUUUAACAUAGUGCCUGGCAUAGAGAGAACAUAAUAUAUGUCAGUAAUAUUAUUAUUGUUCAUAAUAAUAUUAUGUAAUAUUAUUAUAGUAAUAUUAUUAUUGUUCAAUAAUAUUAUUAUUAUUAUUAUCAGGACUGGCUACAUAAUUUGCAAAGCUUAGUACAAAAUGAAAAUGUAGAGUUCCUUGUUAAAAAAAAAAUCCAGAAUUUCAAAAUGGCAAUAGAAGAACAUUUAAUCAAAGGAAGCCCAAGUCACUACAUAGUUACCAUACUCAUGAAGACAGCUAUGUUAGUCUUUUCUUUUUUUCUUGGCAGUGCUGGGUGUCUAACCCAAGGCAUUAUACAUGAUAGGCAGAUCCUCUGCCACUGUCCACACCCCCAAUCCCAGCUUUCUGUUACUGUAACAAUCAUGCCUGAGAUAAUCAACUUAAAAGAUGAAAGGUUUAUUUUGGCUCACAGUUUUGGAGGUUUCAGUCCAGGACCAAUUAUCCCUGUUGCUUUAGGCCUGUGGAGCACAGUAUGUCAUGGAAGGAAUGCUCGGUAGAGGGGGACUAUUCACUUAUUGCUAGGUUCAAAAGAGAGAGGAAGAGGAAGAGAUGGGGUUCUACUAGUCUCUUAAGUGAAUAUCCCCAGUGACUGGAAAUCCUUCCACUAGCCCUCACCUCUUUUUUUUUAAAAUUUUUUAAAAUUGUUGAUAGAUCUUUAUCUUUUUUAUUUAUUUAUAUGUGAUGCUGAGAAUUGAACCCAGUGCCUCACACAUGCCAGGCAAGUGCGCUACCACUGAGCCCUAGCCCCAGCCCCUAGGCCUCACCUCUUAAAGGUACAAUCAUCUUCCAAUAGUGCCACAUGAUGGAGAACCAAUCCUUUAAAACAUGGACCUUUGGAAGAACUGAUCCAAACCACAGCAGCAACCCUGUCACUAUUAUGUCUAUACAUACAUGUAUUUAUAUAGCUUACCUAUUCAAAGAAGUUGAAUUUUUCUUGGGGGCAAAUAGAUUGGUACUUCUAUUUUUCUCAACAUUCUAUUAAGAAAAAAUUUAAAUAGCCAAAUUCCAAGAAUUUUAUAAUGAGCACACGUAUAGACACCACCUAGAUUCCACCUCUAAUAUUUAUUAUAUUUCCUUAUUAUAUAUACAUGGAUACUCCUUUAUCCAUCCCAUUAGUCAAUCUAUAUUGUUUUUGAUGCAUUUCAAAGUAAAUUCCAGAUAUCAAGAUCACUAACUACAUUUCCAUUUGUUGUUUUUUCCCUUUUAAUGUAAAAUUGUCAUACAGAGGAAUACACAAAUCUUAAAAACAAAUGACAAAUGCAUACUGAGUUCUGACAGAUGCAUACACCUUUUGUAACCAAAGCCUCUAUAAAGAUGUUGAGCAUUGCUGUCACCCUAACAAGUUCCUUCAUAAUGUAAAUUUCUAAUAAAUCCUCACCCCAGGUGCCAAUAAAAGACCUUUCUUUGUGUGUAUGUGUGUGUGUGUGUGUGUGUGUCUGUGUCUGUGUGUGUCUAUGUGCACAUGCACACGUGCAAGCUUACAUUUUUCAAAAGGAACCUUGAUAAGUACUUAACUCCAAUGCCUUCUUAUAAGGGUACAUAGAAAAUCCUGUAGCCUGUAAACUAAGAGAGAUAAAUCUAGGAGGGUGAAAUCAUCAAAUAUUUGUUGAGUCAAG
rnacentral:lncRNA from 1 species